rnacentral:ncRNA from 1 species
AAUUAGAAAGGGCAAACUCAUUGAAAAAUGAGGACGCAAAGUCACAGGUCUAAGGCAUGUAGCUAGGAUGGCUGGUCUGCCUCU